UUUUUCCCAUCAAAUUUAGUUCUCAGUUUCACACAGUUCCUUAAUAGUCAUAAUCGAUGGCAAAUAAACAGUGGGUCGGUUUCAGUAUGCAGUUUUAACUUCAUCUGAGUUGAGAUAGAAAAAACAACUCUGAAAUUGCUUAAGCAGUUACUACGUACAUGUACUUGUGUAGAAGAGAAACAGAACUGCUUGAAUAUAUUACAAGACAGACACUCAGUAAUUACUUCAGUAAUUUUGUUCUGUAUUACUUUUCAAUUGAAGUAGUUUGGCAAU
rnacentral:lncRNA from 1 species